GCUCUCUCUUGCUCUCUCACGGCUGGAGGUAGAAGAAGACACAAGACACAAGAAAUUCCGGGCCGGCGCACGAACGCCGCCAUGGGCGCACCAACGCCCUAAUCUUUUCUGUAUUCAGUUGGCUCAAACUCAUACAAGCAGUACACGGGGUGGUUGUAUAGGCGGAGCACGCAUGCCACGAUCCACUCCUGCCCACGCAAUGCCACGAUCCACUCCUGCCCACGCACGUCCACCAUGUGCUCCACUGCGCAUGCAUGAUCUGCUCGCCCGGCCGCGCGCAUGGCGCGCCACUACCCGCACUACACGGCCAGUUCCAACAGAUUGCCUGGCUCUCCGCUACUCUCGUCAACGGCCACACACCAGCUCCCACCUGAGCAAGAACAGAUACAAGUGCAGGCUCACGCACACACACGCGAUCAUGGUUUAGUGGCUAACAAUCUCCCCCUAAACCAUGACACUGUUGCCCAUCCUGACUUACAAGACACUGGCUCCUCGUCGACUGUCG
rnacentral:lncRNA from 1 species